UGCCUCUGAUGUCAUGGGCCAAUUCAAUAAAAUAGGAGGCAUUACUUCUGGAGCAGCAAUUAUACACUGUGCUCAGGCCAAUUGCCCAACAGAAGCAGAAAGUAACAAGCAGGGCUCUUGAGGGCUUUAGCCAUUAGUGUGUUCUUAAAGUCUUCCUGUUGAAAAUGCUACUUUCUGAUCAUAGCCCCUGUGUGAGUAUGCUCCCAGUAGUCCCCACAGCUCAAGAGAAAACAGAAUCAUAGUAUCAUAGAGUUGCUCGGGUUGGAAAAGACCUUCAAGAUCAACAGCUGUGAUCUCUGAUGUUUCUCACUUUGCGGGUAGGUGGAAGUGAUAUAAUAAGGCUGCAAUGUGCUCUUGGUGUUUCCCUCUAUACUAUAUAUACUCCUUUCACAAUUCCCCACAUGCUGUUAAACCAUAAUUCAUGAUGCAUGCUGGCUUGUUUCUGUACUGGUCUCAUGCCAGCAAGAAGCACUUCUUGGACACAUUAAACAUCCUUACUUGAUUAUACUCAUCCUGUCCUUUACAUAAUAAUAAUGUCUUCUGCCAUUAUGUCUUUGAAAUCUGGCCAAUAUUGGUGUCAAUAUUGGCAGUGAAGUCUUAAUGACCUGGGUAUUAAGGGCAAUCGGCAACAGCUUCUUCAUGACCAUUCCUGAUGCCUGUUGAUCAGACCAUCUAUCUUAUGCUUGGAAGUAUCAUACUGGCAGCAUCGUUCUGAUUCAAGUAGCAGAGACAUCAAUUUCUUUUUUAUCUUUUUCUUCUCUGAGCAAGUCCUUUGCUUGUGUCCCUUGGAAAAUGAGAAGCUCAGUGGUUUGCAACACAGAUGCUCUUCACUGGAGUCCCAGGCUUCAGCUGCUCUGCAGAGCUGUAACACUGCAGAAGUGAUGCUGACUUGGAACUUCCUUCCAUCUUACAGAUGCCAUUCCAUCAGUCUUCCCCAGUCGUUAUGUGUUUACCGUAUUAAUGGCUCUUAGCCUUCUGACAUGAUGUGUUCAUCCGUGGAUGGCAAACCUUUUAGAUAUUGGCAGCAAAUUUAGCUUAAAAAGCACCCCAACUCUCUAAUUACUGAUGGUGCCAAGACUAAUCUCUGUCAGUGUCAAUUUUGGCAACAGGGCCAAGGUCUUAUUUCUUUCCUAAUUUGAAUUUUAGAUCUGUUCUUUACCUUUCAAUCCAAUCUUGUCUAUUUAGUACUUUUCCCCUGAUAUUUAACUGCAUGCUGAGGAAUCCCAUUCUCUUCAUGGCUCUGAAUCAAGACAAGGAGAUUUAAUCGCUGUUGAAAUCCUAACCUUGCUGGGGUAGAUUUCUUCUUUUCAAGCUGAAUCAGAUGUUGUGGUGAACUUGAUCUCUGUUCCCUACUGAGAAGAAACACAUUUUGCAUUAGCUUACCUGCUGUCAUGAUGUGUGACUUCUGUGACCAUAUAAUGUGCAGAAAACUACAGACUUUCAGUAGAAUGAGACUGUAGACAACACAUGCCUGAGAAUUACUCGUAUCAUAGAUAAGUGACUUUUCUUCCUUAUUUUUCACUCUAUGCUACAGAGUUUUUCACUGUUAUUUCCUACCUAUGUUGCAAUAAUUGUGUGAGAAUUAAUUGGUAAAUGUUUGCAAAGUACUACAGACAUAAAACUGCUAGAUAAGUACUAACUAUUAUUUUAAUUUGAAUUAAUAACAAUAAUAGAACUAGAUUGAGAGUCUUUCCAUGACUAUAAUGCUCAUUUUCAGAUGCAGACCUUAAACUGACCUGCAUAUUUAGCAAGUUACAGCUACACAGUGUAGAUAAUUAAAAAUAAAUUACUAUCAAGGUUCUAAAAGUAAUUGAAAAUCAUGUUAAUAAAUUCAGAAGGGGAAGAAAAAAGAGCCCAGCGCAAGAAAAAACAAAAGAGCUCAGCGAGCCAGCCCAGGAAUUUCUGAAUAGAUGCAGAGCAUUGAAGGCUACAGGAUGUAGAACAAACCUGUAAAUCUCCAAACACCACUGGCAACUUGUAUUGCUUGCCUAAAGACCUGACCUCUUAAGAAAUGGAGCAUAAUCAAAUGUGGCCAGGUAUGUCUAGCAGGAAGCAAGAUGUAAUCACCCCUUGGGACAAAAUAGAGAGCAAAAUAUGAUGACAGCAGUCAGCAGGUAGAUCAGGUCAUGCUCUAUUUGAGUUAAGAGCUGUUGGAAGCUGAAAAAGGCCUUAACCGUGUUCUGUUUCACAGACUCAAAAGUGCUCACAUGGUUGAUUGUACCAACUCCCACAUGCUAAAGACGAAGCCAGUGGCUUAAUUCUACCCUUUCUAUAUCUCAAGAUAAGACCCUCCAUCCCGAAAGCCCAAAUUUUACCAUCUGGGCUUAAAACAGGUAUAGCUGAUGAAGUAUGGGUCAUAUAUGUGGACAGUGAGGUGGACUACCUGAACUGUCUGAACAGCCAGGCCCAGAGGAUUGCCAUCAGUGACACGAACACCUACUGAAUUCCAGUCUAUAGUGAUGUGUCCAAAGAGUUGAUACUAGUGUUCAGCAUCCUCAUUAAUGACCUGGGUGAUGGCACCGAGUGCACCCCUAGCAAAUUUGCAGAUGUCACAGAACUGAGGAGGAGUGAUUGAUACACUGGAGUGUUACACUACUUUCCAGAAGGACCUCAACAGGCUGAAGAAAUGGGCUGACAGGAGCCUCAUUAUCUUCGUAAUUUUCAUAAUGUUCAUAUGAAACUAAUGUUCAUAAUGUUCAUCAGGUUCCUCAUGAAACACCAGCUCCUACCCCUGGGAAGGAUCAAAGCCAGGUACCAGUACAGGCUUGGGGUCAGCUGGCUGCAAAACAGCUUUGCAAAAAAGGACUUUGGGAUCUUGGUCAGCAGCAAGCUGACCAUGAGCUAGCAGUAUGUCUUUAC
rnacentral:lncRNA from 1 species